rnacentral:rRNA from 1 species
AGAGUUUGAUCAUGGCUCAGAACUAACGCUGGCGGCGUGUCUUAGACAUGCAAGUCGAACGCCCCGUCUUUGACGGGGAGUGGCGAACGGGUGAGUAACACGCGGACAACCUGCCCUCAGGUGGGGGAUAACCUCAAGAAAUUGAGGCUAAUCCCGCAUAGUCCCCUUUUGACGUGAGUUGAUUGGGGUAGACCCUUCGGGGGCCCGAGGAGGGGUCUGCGUCCUAUCAGGUAGUUGGUAGGGUAAUAGCCUACCAAGCCUAUGACGGGUAGUCGGCCUGAGAGGGUGACCGGCCACAUGGGGACUGAGACACGGCCCUGACUCCUACGGGAGGCAGCAGUCUAGAAAUUUGGGCAAUGGGCGAAAGCCUGACCCAGCGACGCCGCGUGAGGGAUGAAGGCCUUCGGGUUGUAAACCUCUUUCAGGGGAGAAGAACCCCGCCUCUGGCGGGGAGACGGUAUCCCCAGAAGAAGCUCCGGCUAACUCCGUGCCAGCAGCCGCGGUAAUACGGAGGGAGCAAGCGUUGUUCGGAAUUACUGGGUGUAAAGAGGGCGCAGGUGUCCUGCCAAGUUUCGGGUAAAAUCCUUGGGCUCAACCCAAGAAUUGCGCGGAAAACUGGCAGGAUUGAGCAUAGGAGAGGAAGGCGGAACUCCCAGUGUAGCGGUGGAAUGCGUAGAUAUUGGGGGGAACACCGGUGGCGAAGGCGGCCUUCUGGACUAUUGCUGACACUCAUGCCCGAAAGCCAGGGAGCAAACAGGAUUAGAUACCCUGGUAGUCCUGGCCUUAAACGAUGUGAGCUAGGUGUCCCGGAAUAUACUCUGGGGUGCCGCAGCUAACGCGAUAAGCUCACCACCUGGGGAGUACGGUCGCAAGGCUG